CCUACGGGAGGCAGCAGUGAGGAAUAUUGGACAAUGGGUGAAAGCCUGAUCCAGCCAUCCCGCGUGAAGGAUGACGGUCCUAUGGAUUGUAAACUUCUUUUGUACAGGGAUAAACCUACUCUCGUGAGGGUAGCUGAAGGUACUGUACGAAUAAGCACCGGCUAACUCCGUGCCAGCAGCCGCGGUAAUACGGAGGGUGCAAGCGUUAUCCGGAUUUAUUGGGUUUAAAGGGUCCGUAGGCGGACCUGUAAGUCAGUGGUGAAAUCUCAUAGCUUAACUAUGAAACUGCCAUUGAUACUGCAGGUCUUGAGUAAAUUUGAAGUGGCUGGAAUAAGUAGUGUAGCGGUGAAAUGCAUAGAUAUUACUUAGAACACCAAUUGCGAAGGCAGGUCACUAAGAUUUAACUGACGCUGAUGGACGAAAGCGUGGGUAGCGAACAGGAUUAGAUACCCUGGUAGUCCACGCCGUAAACGAUGCUAACUCGUUUUUGGAUUUUCGGAUUCAGAGACCAAGCGAAAGUGAUAAGUUAGCCACCUGGGGAGUACGUCCGCAAGGAUGAAACUCAAAGGAAUUGACGG
rnacentral:rRNA from 1 species